GGGGCGAGCGGGAGCGCACGAUUGGUUGCUGCGCCGGCCGCCGGCGCUGGGUGCGGCCGCCGCGUAAGGCGGAGGGACGGCUCCGUCGGUGGAGCCGCAGUCGCUCGGCAGUGGCCGGUGCUGCGGAAAUCCGUUCGUGUUAGCUGCGCGCCCGCCGCUCCUCUCCCGCCGGGGACGAUGUUGGACCGCGAGGGCGGCUGGAGCGUCUCGUUCGCCGGCUGCGGCUUCCUGGGUGUCUACCACAUCGGCGCCGCCACCUGCCUGCAGGAGCGCGCGCCGCACGUCAUCCGCGACGCCCGGCGCAUCUACGGCGCCUCCGCCGGCGCGCUAGCCGGCGCUGUGCUCGUCGGAGGCGGCUCUAUGGCUCAAGCUUGUGCAGAUGUCUUGGCAUUAGCCAAAGAAGCUAGAAAGCGAAAUCUUGGUCCUCUUCAUCCAUCCUUUAAUGUGAUAAAGAUAAUAAGAGAUGGACUGAUGAGAAAUCUUCCAGAAAACACCCACCAGUUGUCAUCAGGCAGACUGUGUAUUUCACUGACCAGAGUAUCAGAUGGUAAAAAUGCAUUGAUAUCUAAUUUUAACUCUAAAGAAGAAGUUGUCCAGGCUUUAAUCUGUAGUUCCUUUGUCCCUAUUUAUUGUGGCCUAAUUCCACCAUCAUUUAGAGGUGUGCGCUAUGUGGAUGGAGGAAUCAGUGACAACUUACCUCAAUAUGAAUCAAAGAAUACCAUCACAGUUUCGCCUUUUGCUGGGGAGUGUGAUAUCUGUCCAAAGGGGAAUUCUGCCAGCUUCCAUGAAAUGAAUGUGACCAACACCAGCAUUCAGUUCAGUUUGGGGAACCUUUAUCGUUUAACACAAGCGCUCUUUCCACCAGAACCUAAGGUACUAGGAGAGAUCUGUGAGCAAGGAUAUUCAGAUGCUCUUAAAUUCUUGAAAGAGAAUGGUAUUCUGAAUGACUCAAUUUAUAUCCACUUGUCCUUCACGAAAAGAAGUCCUCAUGAGGCUGCGCAACACAACCACACAAAGAAAAAAGUACUGACAGAAAAUAAUGGAGUAGAAACUUUGAAAAUGGAGGCACUCAGUGACCAGCUGAAGCAAAAUCCUUGGCCUUUGGAGAAGAGCAUAUUUGAAAGUCUACCUCCUAGACUUCGUAAAGCACUGCAGGAAGCUUGUAAAGAACAGAAUGGAUUCUACGCUCAGUUCUCUAAGCUCUUCCCUAUGCGAGUGAUAUCCUAUCUGAUGCUACCAUAUACACUACCAGUGGAGUCGGCUUACUCCAUUGCUGUACGAUUAGUAAACUGGUUUCCUGACAUGCCUGCUGAUAUUCGAUGGAUGCAAGAACAGCUUUGUCAGAUUGCUGCUACAGUUUAUUCCCAGGCUAAAAGCAAGCUGUUCUGUAUAUCCAGGAAAGACAAAUACACAUCCCUAAGAAAAUGUCAAACUGUUCCAUCUACUAUGGAAUUUCAUUCUUCAUACUGCCACCUUAAAAUGCCUCGCUCUUCUGCGGACCUUGAAACCUGGCUCUGGGAAUCUUCAAGCUUCAUGCACUCAGUUAUGAAAAAUGCUUCUGUUAAUGUACAGGAGCAUUCAGAAAUAAACUCCUAUCCUGGUUUUCCCCCAAAUCCUGAUGAGUCUGGGUUGGAAAUAGAUUUUGACUCUUCCUCAGAGUCAAGUUUCCAAACUGCUCCAGAGUAUUAAUUUGGAAGUAGCUUCCAGAGUUUCCAAAAUUCCAAUUUGGCAGAGAAAUUUAUUUCCUAAAGAACUAAAGAUCACUUUGAUUAUUGCCAGUAAGUCUUGUAAAAUUUGUUUACAGCUUCCUGACAAAUCUGUCUUGAGAAUCCUAUUGUUGUAAGGAUUAUAAAAACAGUGGCUGCUAUACUAAGAAACAGACUACAGUUCUGUCAAAGCACCAGCUCAAUCAACUGUAGAAAACAUGUAGUAAACAGUGUUUCUCUGGAAAUAAGUUAUUUUAAAAUCUACUUUCAGAAUAAAAAUGGAAAUUCUGUAAACAGAUUUAGACACACAGGCACGGAUAACAAAACCUUUUUAAAAAUAUAAUUCUUAACAAUAGUAUGUGUUAGGAUUAAUUUUAUAGCACUUAAAUAAAAUUUGACUUUUACUACAUAAAGGGAAAUACACAAAGGAGCUUUUUAGUGGCCUCCAGUGUCCAUUUGCCUUAUGUUUAAACAUACUGUUGUGUUUACUGAAAAAAUUGUCUGCAUGAGGUACUGUAGGAACAGUAAUAUUCUAGGUUACUGUAUGUAUUCUGUAGUUCACAUUACUUCUCCUCUGUGGCUCUUUCCCUCUUCAAAUACUUCAAGGGAAAAAGACAUAGGAAAUGGGAUGCAUUCCCCUGAAGUGUAAAUAGGAAGGAAGAAAAAAAGUGUCCCUGCUGUCUCAGUGAGGUAUGAUAGCCCAGUGAAAGUUUUCCAAGACCAGUUAGAGGAAGCAAAUGUGUAAGACUUGGUGGGAGUAUCAGUAUCCAGGGAGCUGUGCAAAGGUGUCAGAUAAUGGGCUGAAAGUCAGCCAGAUCUGUAUUUAGUUGAUGAGCAUUUUACACACUUUGCACUACAAAGGUUCUGCAUGAUUUUAAUAAAGAAGACACAUUAGUGCAUGAAUAAUACAUCAGGAGAAGUAAAUAACUGCUAAGAUGAACCACUCUCUUCAUGUUUUGUUACCAUGGACAGUUUUUUUCAAGUAGAAAGAAUCAACAAUGGGUUUGAAAUGGAGUUUGUGUAGGUGUUUGGGGGUAGGCUUGUGACAUUCGGAACCUUCUCAUUGAAGAACGUGAACUGCGUGCAAGCUGGGUGCAGCCCAGGGAAGAGACUAUAGCUGCUUGCUGGAAGUAGCUUGUACAAGAAGUGGCAACGGUGUUGAGACACUCAGGAGAGGGAACUUUGGAGUUCUGAGCUUUGGGAUCCAGAACUCUUGUCAAAUAGCAAAAUGUAGCAUUUUUUAGUUGGACCAGCCUUUAAGCAGUUUCCGAGUUGUGAUUUCCUUAAGCUUGAAGUGCUAAAUUUUGCAACAUUGUGAUUGAUUUUAGAAUGGUGGGGGAGAGGGGAGAAAGUGUCAAGCUGUCUGUUUCCCUACCACAGAAGGGUGGUAUCUUUACUUCAGCUCUUUUGUUAAUUUCUUCUGUGUGCGUUUAUCUGUCUUUUCAGAAAUUUGCAAGAAAAGUUUGAAAUAUUACUCUAACUACAAGUUCUAUUUUAUAUUGUCUUCAUUUGUAACUUUAAAACUUUCUAUAAUUUAAUUUUAUGAUGUUCUGCAAAAUGUUGGUUUUACCAGUAUGUGUUAGAAUUCAGGCAGGAAUGCCGAGUUUUCCUUCUUUUGUGUGUUGGAAGAGUUCUAUUACCUACAUUUAAAUCAACUGUAACCACUUGUCCUGCUGCAUACAGCUCCAGUUUUGUCUCCUUUUACUAAAAUAAAAAGACAAUCUCUUCUAUUA